GGGCGUGUGGCGGAAUGGUAGACGCACCGGCCUGUCACGCCGGGGGAGCUUGCUCCGUGUGGGUUCGAAUCCCACCACGAAAG
rnacentral:tRNA from 1 species